CCGAAUGGGGAAACCCAGUGCAAUUCGUUGCACUAUCGUUAACUGAAUACAUAGGUUAACGAGGCGAACCGGGGGAACUGAAACAUCUAAGUACCCCGAGGAAAAGAAAUCAACCGAGAUUCCCCCAGUAGCGGCGAGCGAACGGGGAGCAGCCCAGAGUCUGAAUCAGCUUGUGUGUUAGUGGAACGGUCUGGAAAGUCCGACGGUACAGGGUGAUAGUCCCGUACACCAAAAUGCACAGGUUGUGAACUCGAAGAGUAGGGCGGGACACGUGGUAUCCUGUCUGAAUAU
rnacentral:rRNA from 1 species